CGCUCAUUAGUGGAUUUCCUACUUACUUUGCUCAUUUGGGCAACUGUGAUUUUUUUUUUUCCUCAAAGAAGUAGUGCUACCCUGCUCUUCAGAGCUCUACCUCUUUCCCUGUGGUUCCUAUUCUGUUGCUCUGUUACUAUUUUAUGUUUAUACAUUGUGAUCUCUCUUACCGUUCUUCUGUCUGGAACAGUGGUUCGUAUCCUUUGGGUCACGACCCUUUUGGGGGUCAAAUGACCCUUUCUCAGGGGUCAUAGAUCAGAUAUCCUAUAUCAGAUAUAUCAUAUCCAUGUGAUAUGAGAUAUUCCCAUGAUGGUUCAUAACAAUAAUAUAAUUAUAGUUAAGAAGAAACCACUGGAAUAAUUUUAUGGCUGGGGGUCAUCACAGUACGUGGAAGUGUAUUAAAUAUCGCAGUGUUAGGAAGGUUGAGAACCACAGUCAAGACUCUGUGUCCAAAGACUAAAGCCGCAAUGAUAUGACUAUUUUCUGGAAUAACGGGCAUGCAUCAUGCAUGUAGAAGACAGGGAAAACUUGCAGAAAUCAGUUUUCCACCUCUGUGUUUUCGGGGAGCAAACUCAGAAGAUUACAAAGAGCCGUCAGCCUUGGGCAUACCCAGGAACCACAGGCAAGCUUUGACCGCAAGCAAAAAGCAGUAUCAGUUCCUUAUGCAUCUAAAUCAAUGAGCAGAGAGCAAUCAGAAUCAUCAGCAGGAAGCCUCACCUCUCUGUGAAUGGAUGGGCCAGUUCAAGCAGGACAGGUCCUGCAAUGUCUUGCCAGAAGAAGCAGGGCAGCCCGUGUGUUUUCAGCUCCUUCACGAACUUGACAUUUCUCAGAAUGAUGUGUCCGUUCUUUCGUAGAUAUUUUGCUUUCUACACAUAUAAAUCAGAUGACUCAAUUGUAAAAGUGAUGUGAUACACAAAAAUUUGGUUUUGACUCCUGUAUUUGCUGAUGACAAUGUCUAUUGAUAACCUUAGAAUAAGAUGAUUAUUUUAAAUUUUCUUUUACAAUUUAUGAGGAUAAAAAAUUUCAAUGACCGCCAAUGAAAUACUUUUUAUCCCAGGAGAUCGUUAACAGCUAAUAAGCAAACACCAGUCUAGUACAUACUGUGCUGUUUGAAAUGUAUGGUUAUUUUUGGCUCCGUUCUUGUAAACACAAUUUAGACUGUUUCUCAAUAUUCUAAACUAAAAUUCAGAAUACAAGUUCUAUAUUUCUUAGUAUUAUUAUUCAGGGAGAUAAAGAAGAAAUAACAUAUUUCUUAUAGUGGAAGGAUAAAAUAGAACAUGUAACUUUAACCUGACUCUAAAGUAGAAAAUACCUUUCUUAGCAUUAAAGACUGGAAGAUUUUAUAUAUAUAUAUAUAUAUAUAUAUAUAUAUAUAUAUAUAUAUAUAUAUGUGUGUGUGUGUGUGUGUGUGUGUGUGUAUUAUAUAUGUGUAUAUUGUAUAUAUAUUAUAUAUAUGCAUGUAUGUGUAUGUAUGUGUGUGCAUGUGUGUGUGUGUGUGUGUGUGUGUGUGUGUGUGUGUGUGUGUGUGUAUGUGUGCUUCAAACAGUGAGUUCCGAUAACACAUACUGUUUCUGUUUUCUAGUUUCAGGUUAUGUGACAGUCACAGGCACACUGAACUUUUAUUUCUGUAUUAAGUCCUACUGAGUAUUUUACCCAUGGUAUUGCUCAAAAAAGAAAACUUCUGUCAAACCCCCUCCAUAGAACUCACAAAUUCCCUUUGUUUUCAUAUAUUCCUAUGUUAACACGUAUGGCGGUUUGAAUGAAGAUGUCCCCAGAACUCUAAUUUCAAUGCACAUAACAGUGCGGAAAGACAGAGCAUUCUUGCUGAAGGUAGUAUGUCAUUGGGGACAAGCUAAGACCUCACCAUCCUUACAACUCUCUACCUUUGCUUGUAGUUGAAUAUACAAUCAUUCUGCUUCCUGUACAGCCAUGGUUGCCACAUGCCUCUAUAUUUCCAUGCCCUGAUGAAAUAUUAUCCCUCUAGAACCAUGAAUCAAAUGAACUCCUUUUUUCCCAAGUUGCUUUUGGUCAUGGUGUUUUGUCACAGCAAAUGAGAAGUUACCAGUACAGCAAGACUUGCAGACAAAGCUGGUUUCAUUGUGGUGAGUGAAACAUUACACUCAAGGUAUGACUUGCCACAAGUCAUGCUGUUCACAGGCCAGGUUUGAUGAUGUCAAAGCAAGAAUAAUAAUUUUAUAUAGAAUAAAGAGAAAUACUUCAAAACAAUAAUGUAACCUUCCACAAUCAUGAAGAUGGCAAGGUCCACAAUCAUGAAGAUAUCAAGGUGGCUAUGUCAUUUUUUUAGUGCAUGCAAUCAAACAUGUGAGUGAGGGUAGGUCGGCAUUUGGAAGAAAAGUAAUUGGACAAUACGGUUAAAUCUUUGUUAUAUUCCCUAGCUUGACUCAAAUCUCUUGAAAGACAAUAAGAAGAAUUUAAAUGCCUUUUUGAUGCACAAGAGAAAACAAAACACAGUACGUAUUAUAACUCUUUUAGAAGUGCCACUGGUUUAUAGAGGACAGAUUCAGAUUUGUGCCUACUGCUUAGUUUGGUCUUCAUUGUUCUUCGUGGUGAACUGUGUAUUUGUCAUGGGCCCUCUAAUGAACACAUCAGCUCCUGUGAGUCUCAGCCCGGGGCAGACAGUUCAAGGGUAAUUGUGUAUCUCAGGCAAGCGGCUGGUUAAUGGCAGAGCACCUGAGUGGAAAGGCCUUGAGAGCAGAUACUUCAGAGUAUGGUGAGGACCACUUUCUUUCUGCUUCACUCUUUCUGGAAAACCUCUUUUCCUUGUGAAGCACCAGUGGCAAAUGCAGUCUUUAUUUUAUCAACAGAGGCAGGAUGUGCUUCCGCACCCUCAGGGAUAGAAAAUUACUCGGUAACACGGGAGGAUUCAUAAUUUUAAGCACACUGUUUUAUGGGCUCUUGGUUUAUUUAGAAUUGCAGUUAAUUCCGGUUAAUAAAUAGUGCACCUAUAGUUUGACUCUGCACUAUAUUUUAGAAAUUAAGAGACUGUCAUUUCUAGUCUGGACAGAAAUGGUGACAAAGCUUGAGCAUUGAUUGGACAAAGGUUCAGAAAGUACAAGUAAAAAGCUUGUUUGGUUUUUUGUUGUUGUUGUUGUUGUUGUUGUUGUUUCAUUUAAGAAAAAUUAUUUUUGGUUGUUGUUUCAUUUAAAAGAAAUUAUGUCCCUUCUUUCCCAUUUGAAAGAAACCCAGAUUUUUAUCAGCUUCAAGCUUAAAGUUCCUGGAAAAUCUGCCAAUCAUUUUUUACCAGGGCCAAGUAUUUUCUAGUGCUACUGCUCGGAGAGCUCCCACAGCACAAGUCUGCUCCAUUCUUGAUAUCAUUCAGGUUUUAAUCCUCUUUUGAUAUUGUGCAUGAACAGAAUGGUGUUUGUAGAAAUCAACCCUGGGAAGGUCUGUUUAUAACUCACGCUGAGGAGCAUAAUUGAGCUCAGCUUCUCAAAGCCCUAAUUAUAUAAAUCCAAUGUCCCUGUAGCUUGGAGAAUGUGGAAUUCUGAAUCUACAAUGUUUCACCAGGAAGGUAGGUAUUUUAUUUGCAGUUAAAUCCUGAUGAGAACUGUGUAUAUUCUUUUCAUUGUACUUAGAAGGAAUGCUAUGAGACCUUCAAUGCAAAUUAUAUGCAUAUGUAGUAUAUGCAUAUUUGCAUAUGUAUACAUCGGUCAAAUUAGGGUUUAAAAUAUUUAUUUUAAUUUCUAUUUUCCACUUGUGUAGGUUUCUGUACAUGUAUUUAUGUCCUUGUGAGGGUGAGUGCCCACAGAAGCCAGAAGAAGGCAUCAUGUGCUAUGGAGCUGGAGUUUCAGGGAGAGGGACACAGUGCAAGGACCCAAGUGUGGGUCCUCUGAAGGGAGAAUACAUGCUUUCAACUGCUAAACCAUCUGUCUGGCCCAAAACUAGGCUUAAGCACAGAAUAUAUAAGUUUCGUCAAAUAAAAUUUAUGGCACUAACAAUAAUGUUUUGAACAACAAACACUAAAAAUGUUUAAUCUUCUGACUUUUUAUUUGUUCUUUUAUUAAUUUGUUUUCUUGACUGUGCAUUUAAAAAUACUUCAGACAGCUAUUGCUAAGUUAUAUUUCGGGAGCCUUAACUGACUAGUAUGUGUUUUCCAAAAAGAGCUUGUUCUAUGUAACAUUUCCCUCGUUCCUGGGAAUUUUUUUUCCAAAUGUUAAACAGGACACAGUGAAACCACUGAACUGACUCCAUGUGUAAAAAGGUGAAGUUUGUUCAAACUACGAGGACUAUCUCCAAUGGAUAUAGGAUAUGGAUUGGGGUGCUGAACAGCAGAGAGAUUCGCUGUGGUGUGAGGUGGACAAGUUUUGUGGAACAGCCUGCGAACCAGUAUGGGGCUGCAAUCUGCUGGAGGUUUAUAGGAAUCUAGAUCUUUCAUGGCAUAAAUAUUUUCAUUCUCAAGUUAAAUUCCAAUGUGGAUUGUCUGAAACCAAAGAAAAUUACUGUUUUGAUAACAAAAAAAAUCCACAAUUGAUGAAUAAUUCUGACUUCAAGUAUCAUUUGUCUCAAGUGGUUAUCAAUUCAUGUCUGCCUACAUGGUUUUCAGAUUAAAUUUAUAGCCAUAAAAGAGAAAGUUUUUAAAAGAAAUAAUCUAAUAAGCCCUAGCCUUAUAUAGAGAUAGCCUGAGCAGUAGGAAGUGUAGACUUGGCUGAAGGUCUACUAAGACUGGCAGAAAUGGUUUGGUUUUCUUUCAGUGGCAGACUUUUAGGUUGGAUCUCAUAGUCUAUGCAUCCAAUUAUAUUCAUGAAUAUAAUAUACAUUAUAGGAGCUAUAAAAUAGAAGAAAUUAAUUUGUUUCUAGUUUCCAAAUGUGAAAUAGGCUUUGUCAGGAGCCAUCUAGGAAACGAUAAAGGCAUACGAGUGACCGUUUUGUUUAUGGCCCAUCAUUUUGCCCGGCUGUGAUGGGUAAACUGAAUUGUAGAGGUUACAGAGAUCUCACUUUCGGAUUGAUUCUUGUUGUUGAUGUGUCUUUCCUUUCAUUAUUGUAUAUUUUAAUGAUUUCUUGGAAUUAGCCCACCCUAUUGGGCAGAUUUUCUAUGAUCAACAAAGAUGUCUUCUCUUUUAGUAAUGCUUUAUAGACAAAUUGAUGAUUUCAUAAUUCCUAAUAAUGAUUCUAUCGAAUUUUGAAAAUUGUACAAAUAAUUGUAUAGUAUGAAUACUGACUGCAAUUGGUGCUUCAUCAAACUUCAUGUUUCAUAGGUUAAUUGCACUAGGAUAAGAAAGCAAGCUUGGAACAAAUUUACAAUCAGGAAAAACAUUCCUUCUAGGCUAGCGGUGAAACCAUUUUCUGAUAACUAAAAGGUCAUAAACUGGGAACGAACAACUUAUUGCAAGUGAAAGGACAGAAAAUAAAGUAUUGACUAAAUUUAUCUAUACAGAACUUCAAAUGUAAUAAGACACAAGGCAGAUGAUUUGCCUCUCGACAAAACUGUGCUAACUUACGACAUACGAAUUACUUGCUUUAAACAUUUAAUGAAAGUAUAGACUAGAAGAUUGAUUAUGAAUGUUUACUUAGGUACCAAUCUUGAUGGAAACACAUGUAAACAUUUCUGCUGUAACACUUUGUUUGACUUAUGAUUUUAAUUUAUGUUUUAAACUAGCUAUGAACUUUUCAAAAGACGAUGGUUGGAAAACCAUGUGAUCACUUAUCCUUAGACAGAAUAAGAACUAAGAAUAUCAAGGAGAAGGCAUUUGCUUCAGCAAUAAAAGUGGAAAGGACUUCUUUUUUCUGUCACCAAUAGAGAUACAGAGCUCCCCCCCCUUAUUUAGUGACUUUUCAUUUUGUAGUAAUGAAAAG